CCUACGGGGGGCAGCAGUGGGGAAUUUUGCGCAAUGCUCGUAAGAGUGACGCAGCGACGCCGCGUGAAUGACGAAGGCCUUCGGGUCGUAAAGUUCUUUCGACAGGGAAGAAAAUGCCUAUAAGUAACUGUGUAUGUAUUGACGGUACCUGUAUAAGCAGCCCCGGCUAACUCCGUGCCAGCAGCCGCGGUAAUACGGAGGGGGCGAGCGUUGUUCGGAGUGACUGGGCGUAAAGAGCACGUAGGCGGUGUUGUAAGUCAUUAGUCAAAGACUAGAGCUCAACUUUAGUAAGGCUAGUGAUACUAUAAUACUAGAGUAUCAGAGAGGAUUGCAGAAUUCCUGGUGUAGCGGUGAAAUGCUUAGAUAUCGCGCAGAACCCCGAUUGCGAAGGCAGCGUACCGGCUCCACACUGACGCUGAGGCACGAAAGCGUGGGUAUCGAACAGGAUUAGAUACCCUUGUAGUC
rnacentral:rRNA from 1 species